AACUGAUACUACCUGCGGGAACCUGCGGAGGGAUCAUUAAUGAACGGCCGUAAGGCCCUCAACCCUUCAAACCUGUGGAAGCCAAAAUGUGCUUCGGCGCCGGGCCCCGGCGUCGCACUUAAAUGCAUUGACUGUCUUGUGUCUGAAUCAACUGAAGCAAAAUAAAACUUUUAACAAUGGAUCUCU
rnacentral:misc_RNA from 1 species